GAUGAACGCUGGCGGCGUGCUUAACACGUGCAAGUCGAGCGAGAAGUUUUGAACAGAUUCUUCGGAUGAAAUUUAAAAUGGAAAGCGGCGGACGGGUGAGUAACGCGUAGGCAACCUGCCCCAUACAAAGGGAUAGCAUUUGGAAACGAAUAUUAAUACCUUAUGAAACUUAACUAGUGCAUGCUAGGUAGGUCAAAGAUUUAUCGGUAUGGGAUGGGCCUGCGUCUGAUUAGCUAGUUGGUGAGGUAACGGCUCACCAAGGCGACGAUCAGUAGCCGACCUGAGAGGGUGAACGGCCACAUUGGAACUGAGACACGGUCCAAACUCCUACGGGAGGCAGCAGUGGGGAAUAUUGCACAAUGGGGGAAACCCUGAUGCAGCAACGCCGCGUGAACGAUGAAGGCCUUUGGGUCGUAAAGUUCUGUUCUAGGUGAUGAAAACUGACAGUAACCUAGGAGAAAGCCCCGGCUAACUCCGUG
rnacentral:rRNA from 1 species